UCUGACCCAGGCACCGGUUAUGAAGAAGACAAGCAGCUCUACAGAGGGGCCUCAAGAAAUCCUUCGAAACAGAAAUCAAAGUCUUGCUGGAAGGGUUCUGGGCACCCUGGACUGUCCACAUGGGAGGCUGUUGGUGCGUGUGCCUACGUGUGUCCAUCAGUGGAUGCACGAAGAAGGAAAUGCUGUCAGCUGUCUGCACUCCCAGACGGGGUGAUGGCCUGGCACCAACGGAGCAUUACCCUGAUGAAUCAUGGUCGAGGUACUUUUCCACUGGGCCAGCCGCCACAGCCCCUUCUCCAUCCUUCGGAGAGCUCUGUCACCUCGCCUUGUAGCACUUGUGUCUCUCCCACUGGCCUCCACUUCUUGUGGGCACUUUCUGGAUGCCCAGGCCUAAUCCAGCGCUGGCACUCAGUUAAUUCUCUCUUCCUUUAAAGGGAACAAUUACCACCUUGAGGAAGGAGGCCUGAAAGCUAAGUCUUUGCUAUUGCAUCCGCCUUCUUCUCACGAAGACCUGCAGCUUGAAAGGAGGGGAGGGAGAAAUAGCCCUAAGCUCCAGGAAGACCAAG
rnacentral:lncRNA from 1 species